rnacentral:rRNA from 1 species
GUCUAUGGCCAUACUACCCUGAACGCACCUGAUCUCCUCUGACCUGGGAAACUAAGCAGGGUCAGGCCUGGUUAGUACUUGGAUGGGAGAGAGUGAACCAGCAGAUGGAAGAUC